rnacentral:sRNA from 1 species
GCCAGGCAUAGUGGCACAUGCCUGUAAUCCCAACAGCUCAGGAGGCUGAGGCAGGAGGAUCGCAAGUUCAAAGCCAGCCUCAGCAAAAGCAAGGCAUUAAGCAACUCAGUGAGACCCUGUCUCUA